rnacentral:rRNA from 1 species
AUUGAAAGCUGGCGGCAGGCUUAACACAUGCAAGUCGAGCGAGCGGCGGACGGGUGAGUAAUGUCUGGGAAACUGCCUGAUGGAGGGGGAUAACUACUGGAAACGGUAGCUAAUACCGCAUACCAUCAGAUGUGCCCAGAUGGGAUUAGGGUGUGGGUGGGGUAAUGGCUCACCAGGGCGACGAUCCCUAGCUGGUCUGAGAGGAUGACCGGCCACACUGGAACUGAGAAACGUCCCAGAUCCCUAAGGGAGGCAGAAGUGGGGAAUAUUGAACAAUGGGGUCAAGCCUGAUGCAGCCAUGCCGCGUGUGUGAAGAAGGCCUUCGGGUUUUAAAGCACUUUCCGCGAGGAGGCGUUACUCGCAGAAGAAGCACCGGCUAACUCCGUGCCAGCAGCCGCGGUAAUAC